GACGAACGCUGGCGGCGUGCUUAACACAUGCAAGUCGAACGGUGAAGCGCCUUCCUUUUUGGUGGGUGUAGAUGAGUGGCGAACGGGUGAGUAACACGUGAGUAACCUGCCCCCUUCUUCUGGAUAACCGCAUGAAAGUGUGGCUAAUACGGGAUAUUCUGGGUCUGUCGCAUGAUGGGUCUGGGAAAGAUAUUGUUUCGGUGGGGGAUGGGCUCGCGGCCUAUCAGCUUGUUGGUGGGGUGAUGGCCUACCAAGGCGGUGACGGGUAGCCGGCCUGAGAGGGUGGACGGUCACACUGGGACUGAGACACGGCCCAGACUCCUACGGGAGGCAGCAGUGGGGAAUAUUGCACAAUGGGCGCAAGCCUGAUGCAGCGACGCCGCGUGAGGGAUGGAGGCCUUCGGGUUGUGAACCUCUUUCGCCAGUGAAGCAGGCCUGCCUCGUUUGUGGGUGGGUUGACGGUAGCUGGAGAAGAAGCGCCGGCUAACUACGUG
rnacentral:rRNA from 1 species